UACGAAGGGGACUAGCGUUGUUCGGAUUUACUGGGCGUAAAGAGCGCGCAGGCGGUCGUUCAAGUCGCGUGUGAAAGCCCCCCGGCUCAACUGGGGAGGGUCACGCGAUACUGAUCGACUCGAAAGGCAGGAGAGGGAAGUGGAAUUCCCGGUGUAGUGGUGAAAUGCGUAGAUAUCGGGAGGAACACCAGUGGCGAAGGCGACUUCCUGGCCUGUUCUUGACGCUGAGGCGCGAAAAGCUAGGGGGAGCAAACGGGG
rnacentral:rRNA from 1 species